GAUCCAAUCCAUAGGAAACCACGACUGUGAACACGAGUGUGUAAACACAGACCCCUCGUUCAUGUGCCACUGCAGGAAAGGUUUCACACUCACUCCAGAUGGUAAAACAUGGCUCCAAACAUUUGGCCAUUACCAAUUUUUGACCUAGUGAAGCAGUUUGUCAGCAGAACAGUGAGCGGUCUGCCAGCCGGAUCUUGGGUCGGGCGCUCCAGUACUCCACUAAAGUCCACUGCGAGUUCACUUUGGGCCAGUACAUCAGCAUCAGCGAGCCGUCUGCUUUAUGGGCACUACCUGAUUCAGGAACAGCAGCCGAACAGUUCAGAGGAUCGCCGUUGUACUUACAGAUGGACACUCACAAGACGACGUGCACAAAUGGGCCAACAAAGUCAAAGCUGAUGGCAUUAUUCUAUAUGCAGUGGGUGUGGGAGAGAAUGCAGAGGAAGAGCUGGAGUUUAUAGAGUCAGCUGCAGCAGAAACGUGUACUACACAGAAGACUUCAGAAAAAUGGAGCAGAUUGCAGACAAAUUGAAGACUUGGAUUUACAGCUGUGAAGUCUCUCGUAAUGGGAUUGUAGCAGAAGACAGCGAGACCGUCUCCGAUAAGAUGCUGAAUGAGAUGGGUGCCGGACCGGAAGAGACGGUGGAGGAUGUCCAGCCUGUGGCCUCAGAAGCAGAGCAGCCAAUGGUCAGCGCCAAUGAUGCUCCUCUGGAGGAGAGAGAUCCAGCAGACGCUCCUGAAACAUCGAGUCCUGAAGCUCCUGCUGAAGAGCAGCGAGAUGUUCAUGCUGCAUCAGAACCCAGUGACACUACGUCUGCAGAACCCUCUCUAGCUGUGGAACCAGCAUCAGAUCUCAGCAGCACUCCAGAACCCAAUCCAACUGAGCUAACAGCAGCUCCAGAAGCCCUGUCAGACGCGAGCUCGGAGCCCACACUAGAGCAACCAACUCCAGCUCCAGAACCCAUUCCAGUGGAAGUUAGCCCUGUUCCAGAGCUCACUGUGUCUGAGCCUGUCGCGAGUGCAGAAUCAGCUUCUGCUGAGGAUCCGACUGUGUCUCCAGAACCCACUGCAGUGGAACCAAGCCCAGCUCUAGAGUCAACUCCAGCUCCAGAACCCACGGCCGAGGAACCGAGUCCAGCUCCAGAACCCACGACUGAGGAACCGAGUCCAGCUCCAGAACCCACGUCCGAGGAACCGAGACCAGCUCCAGAACCCACGACUGAGGAACCGAGUCCAGAACCCACGGCCGAGGAACCGAGUCCAGCUCAAGCGACUGAGGCAGCGGUGGUCUCACAGGCUGCAGAGGAGAAUGCGACCUGCGCAGACGCUUCAGAGGGAGCGGCCGGUGAGGAGAUCGCAGCAGAUGCGGCUGUGCUCGGUGAAGACGGAGCUGAUCUGAAAUCCACAGAACCUGCAGAAUGAUGUCAAUAUGUUCUUGUGACACUGUAAGACGUGCCUUGUAUUUCAGUAGACAUGAGGGUUUGGGCUUCACAUAAGUUUGUACAUAAAUUAGUGUUUCUAAGUAGCAUCAUCAUCAUUAGCAUUGUUGUUAAAAGCCACAGAAAUGCCUCUGAGAGCGCAGGGUCCCGUGGGUAACCGGCUGAGCGUGGGACGAAUGUUUGUGCUUCUGGAUAAAAUCACAGCAUCAUGUCCUCAUCUUCAACUGAGUCAAACACAAAAGCAAUAUUAACUCAUCUGAACAAACACGAGCCAAAACUCAAUAACUGUGAAUGAGCCAAAUUAUGCUUAAUAAUGUGUCUUUUAAUGGGUCAGAAGGGCUUCGUCUCUUUUAUCUAUUUAGUGCAUUUUUCACCUCAGACUGCAGAUGAAAAGCAGUUUGACUCUUUACUUGCAUUAAUCAAUGAUGCAGAACGCUAGCAUAUUAAUCAAUAGUAUAUGUUGUUGGUUUAUUUUAUUAUAGUUUGUGGUGAUUGAUAGUUACACUUAAACUCCAGAGCACUAAUAAAGCUCAUCUGAUCAGCUUUAAACCGAGACCU
ensembl:lncRNA